rnacentral:rRNA from 1 species
AUUGGACAAUGGGCGCAAGCCUGAUCCAGCCAUGCCGCGUGAGUGAUGAAGGCCUNAGNNUUGUANANCUCUUUCAGUGGGGANNNNNAUGACGCUACCACCAGAAGAAGCCCCGGCUAACUUCGUGCCAGCAGCCGCGGUAAUACGAAGGGGGCUAGCGUUGUUCGGAUUUACUGGGCGUAAAGCGCACGUAGGCGGAUUGGUCAGUUAGGGGUGAAAUCCCGGAGCUCAACUCCGGAACUGCCUUUAAUACUGCCAGUCUAGAGACCGAGAGAGGUGAGUGGAACUCCUAGUGUAGAGGUGGAAUUCGUAGAUAUUAGGAAGAACACCAGUGGCGAAGGCGGCUCACUGGCUCGGUACUGACGCUGAGGUGCGAAAGCGUGGGGAGCAAACA